rnacentral:rRNA from 1 species
AUUGAACGCUGGCGGCAGGCCUAACACAUGCAAGUCGAGCGAGCGGCGGACGGGGGAGAAAUGUCUGGGAAACUGCCUGAUGGAGGGGGAGAACAACUGGAAACGGUAGCUCAUACCGCAUACCAUCUGAUGUGCACAGAUGGGAUUAGCGAGUAGGUGGGGUAACGGCUCACCUCGGAGACGAUCCCUCGCUGGUCUGAGAGGAUGACCAGCCACACUGGAACUUAGACACGGUCCAGACUCCUACGGGGGGCAGCAGUGGGGAAUAUUGCACAAUGGGCGCAAGCCCGAUGCAGCGAUGCCGCGUGGGUGAAGAAGGCCUUCGGGUUGUAAAGCACUUUCAGCGGGGAGGCGUUACCCGCAGAAGAAGCACCGACUAACUCCGUGCCAGCAGCCGCGGUAAUAC